ensembl:lncRNA
CCCUGAUGCUGGGAAAGAUUGAAGGCAGGAGGAGAAGGAGACGUCAGAGGAUGAAAUGGUUGGAUGGCAUCACCAACUCAAUGAACGGGCUGCUGUAUGACCUUGGACCAAUCAUUCUCCAGCUCUGGGCCUCCAGCUUCCCCGCCCCACCACACCAGGGACCUUCAGGGACUCUUCCCACUCUUGACAGGUGGUCUGACGAUGGCACUUUCCCCUUCUGAGGCCACCUGAGCAGCCAGGAGGAUGAUCCGCAAAGCGUGAACCCGGUGAGUCUGGAGUGUGAUCUGCGCGUGCAGUGACAGCUGGAGGUCGGGCGGGCCCUGUGGCUGCCUCUCCCGGGCGCAGCGCUGUCACUGCUUCGUCACCUUGGCUGUUCGGACUCAGGG